GACGAACGCUGGCGGCGUGCCUAAUACAUGCAAGUAGAACGCUGAAGAGAGGAGCUUGCUCUUCUUGGAUGAGUUGCGAACGGGUGAGUAACGCGUAGGUAACCUGCCUGGUAGCGGGGGAUAACUAUUGGAAACGAUAGCUAAUACCGCAUAAAAUUGAUUAUUGCAUGAUAAUUAAUUGAAAGAUGCAACUGCAUCACUACCAGAUGGACCUGCGUUGUAUUAGCUAGUUGGUGAGGUAACGGCUCACCAAGGCGACGAUACAUAGCCGACCUGAGAGGGUGAUCGGCCACACUGGGACUGAGACACGGCCCAGACUCCUACGGGAGGCAGCAGUAGGGAAUCUUCGGCAAUGGGGGGAACCCUGACCGAGCAACGCCGCGUGAGUGAAGAAGGUUUUCGGAUCGUAAAGCUCUGUUGUAAGAGAAGAACGGGUGUGAGAGUGGAAAGUUCACACUGUGACGGUAUCUUACCAGAAAGGGACGGCUAACUACGUGC
rnacentral:rRNA from 1 species